rnacentral:misc_RNA from 1 species
GAUGAAGAACGUAGCGAAAUUCGAUAAGUAAUGUGAAUUGCAGAAUUCAGUGAAUCAUCGAAUCUUUGAACGCACAUUGCGCCCGCCAGUAUUCUGGCGGGCAUGCCUGUUCGAGCGUCAUUUCAACCCUCAAGACCCCUUCGGGGGACUUGGUGUUGGGGACCGGCACAGGGGCCUGCCUGCUUGUCUUGCAGCGCCCUCGCCGCCCCCGAAAUGAAUUGGCGGCCUCGUCGCGGCCUCCCCUGCGUAGUAGCACAACCUCGCAACGGGAACGUGACGGCGGCCACUGCCGUAAAACAACCCCAAUUUUAUUAGAGUUGACCUCGAAUCAGGUAGGAAUACCCGCUGAACUUAAGCAUAUCAAUAAGCGGAGGA